GAGUAGCUGGGAUUUCAGACACUUUCUUCUUUCACUUUUACUGAUGAAAACUUGUUCAGUGGGAGAAAGCCCGGGUGCUCUGGCCUGAGGCUCUGACCAAAAAUUUCGUCAACGCUACUUUAAACAGUUUCUUAAAGAAGUAGUAAUUUUGAAGCUUUGGCCAGGGUGUGUGUGUGUGGUCGAAGACGGUAACUUUCAGAUAGGUCUUCCUUGCUUGAUAAAAAGAUAUUAGCUGCCCUUUCAGUGUGGAAGUUGAGGCCCAGGACAGUUUGAAUGAGGAGGCUGGGGCAAAGGAAAACAACGUCCAUUUUCUCUGAGGAGCUGUGCUGCAGAGGCGGACGUACAAAGCAGCUGCCAACUAGUCCAUGGUUUCCCAGCUGGAGGAGCCCUGCCCUGCACCCUCACAGCAGCCCUGAAGCAGACACCCCAGGGAGUACCUACCUGGGGCACCCCAAGCUGGCACCAGCAUACAAAGUGGUCAGAAAUGUGCUGUUAACCCUGAAAGGGCUGCUUAAUAAAUCAGUUUUACUUCCC